GAUCAUAUAGCUCAGUGGCAGAGCACAUGCUUAGCAUGCAUGAGGUCAUGGGUUCAAUCCCCAGUACCUCCA
rnacentral:tRNA from 1 species